rnacentral:rRNA from 1 species
UACGUAGGGAGCAAGCGUUGUCCGGAAUCAUUGGGCGUAAAGCGCGCGUAGGCGGCCCGAUAAGUCCGCUGUAAAAGUCAACGGCUCAACUGUUGAAAGCCGGUGGAUACUGUCGGGCUAGAGUACGGAAGAGGCAAGUGGAAUUCCUGGUGUAGCGGUGGAAUGCGCAGAUAUCAGGAGGAACUCCCAUAGCGAAGGCAGCUUGCUGGGACGUUACUGACGCUAAGGCGCGAAAGCGUGGGGAGCGAACAGG